rnacentral:tRNA from 1 species
GGAGUUAGUUUAAAAUUAAAAUUCUGGUCUGUGGCACCGGAGAUAACGUUCGUUGCUUCU